GAGUUUGAUCCUGGCUCAGGACGAACGCUGGCGGCGCGCCUAACACAUGCAAGUCGAACGAGCGAGAGAGAGCUUGCUUUCUCAAGCGAGUGGCGAACGGGUGAGUAACGCGUGAGGAACCUGCCUCAAAGAGGGGGACAACAGUUGGAAACGACUGCUAAUACCGCAUAAGCCCACAGCUCGGCAUCGAGCAGAGGGAAAAGGAGCAAUCCGCUUUGAGAUGGCCUCGCGUCCGAUUAGCUAGUUGGUGAGGUAAUGGCCCACCAAGGCGACGAUCGGUAGCCGGACUGAGAGGUUGAACGGCCACAUUGGGACUGAGACACGGCCCAGACUCCUACGGGAGGCAGCAGUGGGGAAUAUUGCACAAUGGGGGAAACCCUGAUGCAGCGACGCCGCGUGGAGGAAGAAGGUCUUCGGAUUGUAAACUCCUGUUGUUGAGGAAGAUAAUGACGGUACUCAACAAGGAAGUGACGGCUAACUACGUGCCAGCAGCCGCGGUAAAACGUAGGUCACAAGCGUUGUCCGGAAUUACUGGGUGUAAAGGGAGCGCAGGCGGGAAGACAAGUUGGAAGUGAAAUCUAUGGGCUCAACCCAUAAACUGCUUUCAAAACUGUUUUUCUUGAGUAGUGCAGAGGUAGGCGGAAUUCCCGGUGUAGCGGUGGAACGCGUAGAUAUCGGGAGGAACACCAGUGGCGAAGGCGGCCUACUGGGCACCAACUGACGCUGAGGCUCGAAAGUGUGGGUAGCAAACAGGAUUAGAUACCCUGGUAGUCCACACCGUAAACGAUGAUUACUAGGUGUUGGAGGAUUGACCCCUUCAGUGCCGCAGUUAACACAAUAAGUAAUCCACCUGGGGAGUACGACCGCAAGGUUGAAACUCAAAGGAAUUGACGGGGGCCCGCACAAGCAGUGGAGUAUGUGGUUUAAUUCGACGCAACGCGAAGAACCUUACCAAGUCUUGACAUCCUGCGACGCACAUAGAAAUAUGUGUUUCCUUCGGGACGCAGAGACAGGUGGUGCAUGGUUGUCGUCAGCUCGUGUUGUGAGAUGUUGGGUUAAGUCCCGCAACGAGCGCAACCCUUACUGUCAGUUACUACGCAAGAGGACUCUGGCAGGACUGCCGUUGACAAAACGGAGGAAGGUGGGGAUGACGUCAAAUCAUCAUGCCCUUUAUGACUUGGGCUACACACGUACUACAAUGGCGUUAAACAAAGAGAAGCAAGACCGCGAGGUGGAGCAAAACUCAGAAACAACGUCCCAGUUCGGACUGCAGGCUGCAACUCGCCUGCACGAAGUCGGAAUUGCUAGUAAUCGUGGAUCAGCAUGCCACGGUGAAUACGUUCCCGGGCCUUGUACACACCGCCCGUC
rnacentral:rRNA from 1 species